ensembl:lncRNA
CUCAAACAGAGGAAGUGGGGUGUAGACUGUAAAGAAACUCAAAGGCAGUUGAAUAAUAAAACAAGAAGCAAAUGGAUCAUUGGAAGGAAAAAGUCCAGAUUCCACAUUUGAAUGUGGUUAUGAGUUAAUGCUGGCUAAAUGGCUAACAUCCUGCUAAGUGCACACUUAAUAGUUUACUGGACACCUCCUUUCCACCUAGAGAGGAGUUUGCUGGCUGGAAUUCUAUGAAUCCUGCUCUGAACGAUGGGCACCAAUCCUUGCAUGUUUAACUCUUUGAGAUUCAGUUUCCCAGAUGAGUCCCAAGAAGCAGAUGGAUGGGAGUGGGCUCUUGAGAGCUCAAAAUCCAUUUCUAAGUGGCAUAAAACAAGUGGCUGGGAACACUGUCUACA